rnacentral:tRNA from 2 species
CUAUCCCCAAAAAAGUCCAUUUUACUUCCUAAUUAUU